ACUGCGGUCUUUGCCUUCAAAUAGCGAGAAUGUGACACGUGAAAUGUUUGGUCGACGAGCCUCACCUUCACAUGAAGAGGCCGUACACCCUGAGCAUUGGCACAUUUGAGGACCUUAAACAAGCCAUUGCGGUGUGCCCCAUCUUGGGAAACCUCGUCGCGCUGUCUACGUCUAGAUUUUCAGGUUAUGGACAUGAACUUUGAUGAGUACGUCGACCUUGGCCCUGGUGAUGAUAUACCACACAUGGCAAAGAUUAAAUUGGCUGCCUUUCAGUCGCCCACCUCUGGAUGGCUCGUCAUCAUCGACAUGUGACGUUGAGAAUGCUGAAGAGCAGGACUCGUGGAAGAUAGCGCUCGGAAACAAAUUCAAGAAUGCAAGGAGGCAUAUGACAGGAGAUGAGCGCCUAAAGGAGAAUAGACAGAAGUUUGCCACAAAGAAGACAUCCACAA
rnacentral:lncRNA from 1 species